rnacentral:lncRNA from 1 species
UUAAUUCAUAAUAUUUGUGUGUCUUCUCUUUUCUUCUCAGCUAGUCUCCAAAGGGUUUAUUUUAUUUCUUUUUUUGAAAGAACCAACUUCUUCAGGCUUUAUUGACUUUUUUCUUUGUUCUUUCUUUCUUUUUUUUUUUUUUUUUGAGAUGGAGUCUCGCUCUUGUUGCCCAGGCUGGAGUACAAUGGCAUUUUCUUGGCUCACCACGACCUCGGCCUCCUGGGUUGAAGCAGUUCUCCUGCCUCAGCCUCCUGAGUAGAGUAGCUGGGAUUACAGACAUGCGCCACCACACCUGGCUAAUUUUGUAUUUUUAGUAGAGAUGGGGUUUCUCCACGUUGGUCAGGCUGGUCUUGAACUCCCGACCUCAGGUGAUCCACCCACCUUGGCCUCCAAAAGUGCUGGGAUUAUAGGCAUGAGCCACCGCGCCCAGCCUAUUGACUCUUUAUUAUGCUGCUUUCUUUUCUAUUGCAUAGAUGUAUUGCCUUAUCUCUUUUUUCCCCUUCCUCCUGCUUUCUUUGAUUAUGUUUUUCUUCUCUUUAACUUAGAAAUAUAGCCCAUGAAUAUUUGGCUUGUCUAAUACAUCAUUUAUGGCUUCAUAUUUCCCUCAAGUGCCACUUUGGCUGUAUCCCACACAUUUUGUUGUAUAAUGUUUAUGUUAUCAUUACUCUCUAAUCCUUCAACAUUUUUCAUUUGAAUUUCUUCUUUGACCUAUGAGGAUGUAGAGUGCAGUUUCCAAUUGCCAAAUUACAUUUUCUACAUGUGCAUGAGUUUCUCCUUGUCCCUCACAUCAGACAGACAUUAGCUUAAUGGUUAAAAGUCUUGGGCUUUGAGAUCUAAUAGACUUGGAUUCAAAUCAUAGCUCAUUCACUCACUCCUGUAUUUAUUAAAUAGACAUUAUUCUUGGUGCUGAGGAUAUAUCACUAAACAGAAAUCCAUGCUCACAUAGAUGUUAUAUGCUGAUAUGCGUCCCACCAUUUAGUAGACUCCACUCUUAUUGUAUCAGUUGGAAAAAGUCUCUCAGUUUCUCCCUGUAGAUGAAUUUUUUUAUCUGUCAGUGAGAAUAAUAAUUAUUCUAUUCUAGGGAGCUCUUGGGAGAACGUAGUGAGACAAAGUGCUUAGUACAGUGGUUAGAACAGUGAACAUUUUAGUAAAUGCUUGCUAUUACCAUAUGGACAGCUUUCUUAGAAAGCCUUUCCAAACCUAGCCCCACCCCUCCCCUUCCUGGCACCCAGACAGAGCUAGAUGCUUCUUUUGUAUUCCUCCAGAGCAUAUUGUACUGGCCUCUAGCAGAAUACUCAGGCAAAAUAUUGUAAUCAUGAAUUGUCCACAUCUCCCACCAGACUGCCAGUUCUUUAAAGACAAAGAAUAUAUCAUAUGUAAUUUUUUUUUACCUCAGCAUCUACCACAGUGCCUGGCAAGUGUUAAAUGCUAAAUAAAUAUAUUUGAAAUGACUAAAGGAAGGAUUGAUACAGAUUUAGGAAAAGGAAAGUAAGUGUAUGUUGCUGAGAUAUCUAUUGAUUCGUUUAGUCAAAAAAUGUUUAUUAGGCACUGAUUACCUUCAGCCACUUUUCAAGGUACUGUAUAGGUUCAAACAAAACAGACAAAAUUUUGUUAUGAUACUUAAAUCUUAGAAAGGAGAAAUAUACAUCAGAUAUGGUUGAGUGAUUGCAGAAAAAUAAAACAGAUUAAAGAAGUAAACAGUAUUGUGGGAAGGCUGCUAUUUAAUAUGUGAUGGCCAAAGAAAGUCUCUCUGAUAAGGUGUCAUCUUAGUAGAGACCUGAAAGAAGUGAGAGGGCAAAUCAGAGGGACACGUGGAUGAAAUAUUCCAAGUUGAAGAAAUAGCAAGUGCUGAAGUUCUUUAAUCAUAUUCAAGGACAGCAAGGAGGCCAGUGUGGCUGCAGCAGAAGCACCGAGAGGGAGAGCGGUAAGAGGUGAAGUCAGAGUGGUGGGCAGAGAGAGUGAGGAUGCAGAGAGUGCAAACCCUUGCAGACCAUGGCUUUGCCUCUAAAUGAGAAGAGAUUCCGCUGAAGGGCUCUGAAUGGGGACGUUCCUGUAAUACACUCUGAGUUACAUUUUACAAGAAUCCCUCUGGCUGCUACAUGGAGGUCCGACUAGGGUUACAGGGGUAGUGGCAGAGACCACUUAGGACAGUAUUGCAACAUUCCAGGCUACAGUAGUGGUUUGGAUCAGAGAGAUAGCAGGUGGUAAUUAUGAUUCUGGGUAUUUUUCAAACAGAGCUGAUAGAUUUUGUUCAAUUGUGUGUGGGUUGUUAAAGAAAGAGAAGAAUCAAGGAUAACCCCAAAGUUUUUGGCUGAACUACUAAACAAAUUGAAUUAGCAUUUGGUUAGAGGUAGAAGACUGGUGAAAUAGCAAGUUUGUGUAUGUAUUGGGAGGGGGGUGGUUAGCAGUGGGUGUAUCAGGAGGCCCAUUUUAGAGCUGUUAAAUGUGAAUGUCUCUUACACCUCCAGGUGGAAAUGUUGAAUAAGUAUAUGGAUAUAUAGAUCAGAACAUCAGUGUUGAGAUCAGAAUCUCUUAUGCUAUCAACCUGUACAUAACUUUCUUAUUUACCACCAUCUUUUUAAAGUAUAAAUCCCUAUGGACCAGAUGAUUCUUGAGAAUCUUCUCUGAAGAGGAGUUAUAUUUUUCAGAUAGAUUUUUAGAUUUUAAAAAAAUGCCAAUUUUUUUAAGUAGGGCAAUAAUCGUAUUACUAUAAUAACUGACAUCAUAAUUGAAUAAUGAGCUUAGGCAUAUGCUUUGCAAAAACCUACAUACCUUAAAUAAAAUUGAAUUCAAAUGAGUAUCUUUUCAAAAGAACUGCUGAAUUCACAAAUGUAUGUAAACAGUUCUUAGUUCAGCUUAAUCUAAGUAUUAAUAUAAAAACACUACUAUGGAUAAAACCCUGGAUACCAGAGUGGACAGUUGAGUCUUACAUAUUCCCAGAGAAAUAUUUAAAGUAAGCUAACACAAGAAAAUCUUGCCUUUAGAAUUUUUAAGUUAAACUUUUAAUAAAGAUUCAAAUAAAAUAUUAAGAAACUUUCUAAAUGGUUCUGACAGUAAUGGUCCAGCCAGGGAAAUAAAGUUUCUAGCCUCUUUCUUGGGGCUUUCAGAAUAGACUAGAUAACCUUAGAAUUAAAUGUGGAUUUAUGUUUUUCUGAACAGUACCCCCUUUUAUUGACUACAUGUUUCCCCAAGAAUUUGUUUUAGAGUAGAUGUUUCAAAUAAAGGGUCCAAUUCUUAACCCAUUCACAUUGUCUCAUUUUGCAGAUAACCACUUGCCUAGCAUAAAAAUCUUUACGUUGUUCUCAGAAAUUGAUUCUUGACUCUACACAGCAAAUCCUUCGUCUUUAUUGCUGUGACCCAUUAUAAAUACCUUCCACUAUGAUGGGCUUAUAUUCUCCUAUUCUCCUCUAGCACUUACUCUCUUUUUUCCCCCAGGUUUCCAGGUCUUGGCAACCUUUGAAAUUCCAAUUCCAUUUGAGAGAGCUUUGACGAGGCCAUAUGCUGAUUUCACCACCAGCAACUUCAGAACCCAGUACUGGAAUGCCAUCAGCCAGCAGGCCCCUGCCAUCAUCUAUGACUUCUAUCUGUGGCUCACUGGAAGGAAACCCAGGCAAGGCCAAGAUGGCUCAAAGAGCAACCAGCCACCUCUGCAGCCUGCCACCUCCUGCUGGCAAGAUUUGUUUUUGCAUCCUGUGAAGAGCCAAGGAGGCACCAGGGCAUAAGUCUACUCACUUAUAUCUGUCUGGAACAUAACGCUUGUUUGUUUUUACAACAAAUAAAAUUGAUCUUGAAU